rnacentral:rRNA from 1 species
GACGAACGCUGGCGGCGUGCUUAACACAUGCAAGUCGAACGGAAAGGCCCUGCUUUUGUGGGGUGCUCGAGUGGCGAACGGGUGAGUAACACGUGAGUAACCUGCCCUUGACUUUGGGAUAACUUCAGGAAACUGGGGCUAAUACCGGAUAGGAGCUCCUGCUGCAUGGUGGGGGUUGGAAAGUUUCGGCGGUUGGGGAUGGACUCGCGGCUUAUCAGCUUGUUGGUGGGGUAGUGGCUUACCAAGGCUUUGACGGGUAGCCGGCCUGAGAGGGUGACCGGCCACAUUGGGACUGGGAUACGGCCCAGACGCCUACGGGAGGCAGCAGUGGGGAAUAUUGCACAAUGGGCGGAAGCCUGAUGCAGCAACGCCGCGUGCGGGAUGAAGGCCUUCGGGUUGUAAACCGCUUUCGCCUGUGACGAAGCGUGAGUGACGGUAAUGGUAAAGAAGCACCGGCUAACUACGUG